rnacentral:lncRNA from 1 species
UAUUCAUAUGAAGCUGGAAGGGAUUGCGAGAUCAAAUCCGUUUGCAAUUCCUUGUGCAUGGUCAUGCCAAGCUUCUCAAGCUUCUCUAAGUCCUUUAUCAUGGUCAAACCAUGAUCAUGGACAGACUGCCCAUCGUGCAUCUUGGCUUUGAAGAGCCUCUUGGACACUUCAAACCGAGCUGCGUGACUCUGAUCACCAUACAACUCUUGUAGGUGAUUUAAU